rnacentral:rRNA from 1 species
UAGGGAAUCUUCGGCAAUGGGCGAAAGCCUGACCGAGCAACGCCGCGUGAAUGAUGGAGGCCUUCGGGUUGUAAAAUUCUGUUAUAAGGGAAGAAUGGCUCUAGUAGGAAAUGGCUAGAGUGUGACGGUACCUUAUGAGAAAGCCACGGCUAACUACGUGCCAGCAGCCGCGGUAAUACGUAGGUGGCGAGCGUUAUCCGGAAUUAUUGGGCGUAAAGAGCGCGCAGGUGGGUGAUUAAGUCUGAUGUGAAAGCCCACGGCUUAACCGUGGAGGGUCAUUGGAAACGGGUCAACUUGAGUGCAGAAGAGGGAAGUGGAAUUCCAGGUGUAGCGGUGAAAUGCGUAGAGAUAUGGAGGAACACCAGUGGCGAAGGCGGCUUCCUGGUCUGUAACUGACACUGAGGCGCGAAAGCGUGGGGAGCAAACA